CACGCCGUAAACGUUGAGAACUAAGUGUUGGGGAGACCCAGUGCUGAAGCUAACGCAUUAAGUUCUCCGCCUGAGGAGUACGCACGCAAGUGUAAAACUUAAAGGAAUUGACGGGGGCCCGCACAAGCAGUGGAGCAUGUGGUUUAAUUAGAGGAUACGCGAAGAACCUUACCAGGGCUUGACAGGAAACUUAAGACCCUAGAGAUAGGGGGAUAAUAAGUGAAACAGGUGG
rnacentral:rRNA from 1 species